rnacentral:lncRNA from 1 species
UGUAGAGAGGUAGCCCUGUGUCCUCUGCCUAGCAUCCCCCAGUAGAAGAACAUCUUUAGCCCUCUCCUUCUCUCCACAGUUCAGUGGGUUAGGCCAAGGCCCUGCAACUAGAUCCCAUGGUCAUUCUGUGGGGCCUGAGGUGUAUCACCUGGCUCCCAUAUGUGCCUGAGGUUGCUGGCUAGUUCAGCAGGGGUGAAGGUUGGAGAAUGAGCUCUCAGGGCUAGCUGACCUCUACAUGCUGCAUACAUGUCCACACUGUAGCCCGGCUUCUGUCCCAUGAAUCAAUGUAUAGGAACUCCUGCCAGGGCCCAGCACACAGUAGGAGUUUUGGGUAUCAUUUCGCAUACUGGAGACAGGAGGUGUCCUGAGAAAUAGAACCCAGCACCCGGUCUUCCUGGGUUGCUGGAGCCCCAUUUAAUUCUGCAAAGGUCAGUUUACUCAAGGGGUGGCAGUGCCUGGGGUGGUGCUUGGCUCUGAGAGCACUGUGUGAGGAGUCCAGAGAGAGCACUGGGCAAGGAGUUGGAAGCCUCAUCUGCAAGUCCCCAGCUAACCUAGGCCACACUGCCCUCUCCUGGCCCAUGUGCUCCUCACCCCUGAUGUGGCCCAGGUAGACUGCUGGCCAUGGGACAGGACCCAGACACUGCCUGCUGUUUACCAGGAUUCUGCUUGGAGGGUUCCACCUCCUGCCUGCAGCCCUGCUGCGGGCCUCCUCCCCACUGUGUCUGACUCACAACUUUGCUAUGUAUGCAGAGAACAUUCCUGAGCCCCCGCCCUGCAGCAGGGCUCUCUGUGGGGGCAGACUGCAGGGCUGUUCACUGUCCCUGGAGAAAGACUUUUGCUUCCCUAGAAGUGUCCCUCAUUCUGCCCUUGGGCCUCUUGGUGGUGGCCACAGCCUGUUCCUGUCUGGGACCUCAGCAAGUGUGUGAGUGUGUGUGUGUGUGUGUGUGUGUGUGUGUGUGUGUGUGUCUGGGGAUUUCCUAGGACUAAUCACUAGUCAUCUUACCACAGAGGAUAAUGAGUCAGAGCAAGCCAGUACACCUGGGUCAUCUAUGUUCAUAGACCUUAGACAAGUGGGGUUGGCUUUGUGUAAGUGACAGGGGACAUGUGGUUGCAGCAAUAGCAGCUGCAGGGCCCAUGCACCAGUGACAAUCAUCUACCCAGUAAUGUCCACACAGCCUGGCCUUCAUAGAAGCUCCUCUUGGUAGAUGAAGUUCAGCUGUGUGGCAGAGCCAAGUUCUGUACUACAGGGACCACUGGGUCUUCCCUGUCUGUCAGCAAGGAACCCUCAAGGUUCCCUAAAAUCCUCAAGGCCACCCCCAAUCAAUCCUCUAUACUCAGCCCAGGUCUCUGUUUGUGAUAUUCUGCUGUCCUUCCCUCAGCUGUGGGAGUGUCUGGUACCCAGGCCCUCUGAGUGCACAGGGCUAAGUACUCACCCGCUGUCAGUGACAGACACUGCUUGAUGCCUGGGAUGCUUAGGAUCCUCUGCCGGGAC